UAUUGUGAAUCUGAUCGUAACAUAUCCUAUCAUCUUGCAAUACGUCGCAUAGAGAAACAUCUCUCCAAAGUGAUAUCUGAUUGAGGGACGGCCAAGUACUUGGUAUCGACAUUAUAAUAUGUGUGUCUCCAGACUGUUCAAAGAUACUCCAGUGCAUUCAUAGGCGAAUAGGCUGACUUUGAAACUACAGAUGCACAUUAGAGAGUUUUUAUAGCCUAAAGCCUAUGCUCUCGAACCAUGAAGCACGGAAAUGAUCUUUAAUUGGUGAAAGCGCAACUUUAUCAAAGAGUGGAUUCGAAUGUUUUUCGCGUAACACAAACAUUCUCUGAUGUGAUUAAUAUUCAUUUAUAUAAUAAUCACGAAGUACACGGUAAGAUUACUGAAUUUUAUUUUCUUUUCCCAUCAAAAAAGUAAUAUCAGUGCUCUUCUGAUAUAAACGCAUGAUUAGAAGAAAAU